CUCUGGGACAAGCCCUGGAAACGGGGUCUAAUACCGGAUAUCACUCUCGCAGGCAUCUGUGAGGGUCGAAAGCUCCGGCGGUGCAGGAUGAGCCCGCGGCCUAUCAGCUUGUUGGUGAGGUAACGGCUCACCAAGGCGACGACGGGUAGCCGGCCUGAGAGGGCGACCGGCCACACUGGGACUGAGACACGGCCCAGACUCCUACGGGAGGCAGCAGUGGGGAAUAUUGCACAAUGGGCGAAAGCCUGAUGCAGCGACGCCGCGUGAGGGAUGACGGCCUUCGGGUUGUAAACCUCUUUCAGCAGGGAAGAAGCGAAAGUGACGGUACCUGCAGAAGAAGCGCCGGCUAACUACGUGCCAGCAGCCGCGGUAAUACGUAGGGCGCAAGCGUUGUCCGGAAUUAUUGGGCGUAAAGAGCUCGUAGGCGGCUUGUCACGUCGGGUGUGAAAGCCCGGGGCUUAACCCCGGGUCUGCAUUCGAUACGGGCAGGCUAGAGUGUGGUAGGGGAGAUCGGAAUUCCUGGUGUAGCGGUGAAAUGCGCAGAUAUCAGGAGGAACACCGGUGGCGAAGGCGGAUCUUCUGGGCCAUUACUGACGCUGAGAGCGAAAGCGUGGGGAGGCGACAGAUUAGAUACCCUGGUAGUCCCCGCCGUAAACGGUGGGACUAGGUGUUGGCGACUUCCCCGUCGUCGGGGCCGCAG
rnacentral:rRNA from 1 species